rnacentral:rRNA from 1 species
CGGGACGGGUGGGUAAUGUCUGGGAAACUGCCUGAUGGAGGGGGAUAACUACUGGAAACGGUAGCUAAUACCGCAUAACGUCGCAAGACCAAAGAGGGGGACCUUCGGGCCUCUUGCCAUCGGAUGUGCCCAGAUGGGAUUAGCUAGUAGGUGGGGUAACGGCUCACCUAGGCGACGAUCCCUAGCUGGUCUGAGAGGAUGACCAGCCACACUGGAACUGAGACACGGUCCAG